GCCCCCGCGGCCCGUCCGUCACGGCCCUGCCAACCGCCCCUUCAUCCCCGAGAGAGAGAGACCCUCACGGCGUUCCCCGGUUUACUCUUCUGGGGGCGGCCGGGCCUGAAGGUGCGGGGGGACUCCGGCCCCGUCCCUUCCCGCCGAGCCGCCGGCCGCGAGUGCGCAUGCUCCGCGGGCCCGCCGCCGCCGGUGAGCCCUCAUAGAGCCAUCGCGAGGCGGGCUAAGCGGAGCUCCAGUGGCGCAAUCGGUUAGCGCGCGGUACUUAUACAGCAGUGCUUGCAGAGCGAUGCCGAGGUUGUGAGUUCGAGCCUCACCUGGAGCACGACCCUUUUGGGUGUCGGAGGGCCCCCUUUUAUCCCUGCCCAGGAGAACAAGUUAGUCUCUCUUUAGCCCUCCCAGUUCCUGUCUCGGCUCCGAGCGCACGUACAGCUCAGUCGUUGGCAGGAAGCCGAUCGCAAUGGCGCUUCUAACCUGCUUUCCGAGCUACUUGUUCGCCCCGCGCGCCACCCAGCUGCUCGGACCCGGGUUACUUACUGCUCCCUCCUAGUUCUCCCCCUAGGCGUCUCCUUUCAUGGCACCCAGUCCCGGCUACAGCCCCGGGUGUGUGGCCCGGAGGUCCCGGGGCGCAGCACCCGUGAGGGGGCCACGCCUAGGCAUCGAGUUAGAAAAUCCCCGGCGCCCCACUCCACGGGGCGUGCCGAGCUCUCGGCGCCGGACCAGCCCGGUUCCCGGCUGCUGCUCCUCGUCCCGGCCCGGCGCGGCGCGGUGCGCUUUGGGUGGCGCGGCCCGGGCCGGAGCCGGAGCCGGAGCGGGGGCCGGGCGACCACUCCCGGGAGUUGGGGCUGAGGCCCCGCGCGGGGGCGCAAGUGGAGCAGCCCCCCUUCCUUUUCAAUAUUUUUUCUUCCAGGUGAUUCUGCAAAUGACCAAAGAGAGCACUUAGAGCCUUAUUGAUCGCUGGUUUACUUCAUGAUCUUGCUUUCAACUUAGAUGUCUUGUUUGUACCAUCACCACAAUUUUGGAACAUUUUCAUUACCUCGAUCUUUAGAUCUAGUGGAACGAUUCUCCAAGGGACCACACCUGAGGGGCCUCCUCUGCACCAGAUCUGAUUUAGAUGUCGAGGUCCUGGAUUCGGAGCCGAAGCCUGGUGACUUUGCAGAUGGACUUUGGGGGUCUUGGAGGUGCUUCCACCAUCCAAUCCCUCCCACACUCCAGAGCAAGGCCCAUCUCUGAGGCAUUAAAGGGGCAGCGCCCACCCGGAGCAGCAAGAGUGGCCCCACCGAAUUCGUUACGGGGGAACUACACUCAGCAUCUCGGCGUCGAGCCCCGCGUAGCUUUAAACUGUGUCUCGAUUUAUUUUGCGCACAUCCCUUAACAAGAUGUGUCCUAAGAUAUCAGAAAAGCCAAAGAGCUCAUAAGGGUAUAAUGAAUGUCCAGUAUAAAACUGGACAUAAGUGUUUUCAUCGUGGGGGGUGAAAUAAAGACAUAAGUUAGUGGUAA